AAGACAUAAUGAUUGAACAAAUUCUGUUCAAUAUACACAACAACCCAGAUUCCUUCCAGAAAGAAAAAAUGGUAGUCAAUAUAUUAAAAACUAGCUUACUGAACCAACUUCAAAAUUACCAAUUGCAUCUUUAUGCUAAUGACCACCAAUUCAACUUCACCCAUGCAAAGACAAAAAAAAUGUUAACAUAAGUAUGUGCUAGGUCUAAUUUUCUUUUUUUCUCCCCUAAAAAAAAAGAAAUACAUCUUACUGCAUUCAUCUUAAAAGUACAACAAAAAGUCUACGCUAAUUCCAUUCAGCUCAAAUAAAAUUAUUUAAUUUCAACUACAAAGAAAACAAAAAGAAGAAAAAUAUGGUCUGUUUGCUACUCAUUUCAAAAAUGUCUAAGAGGAACACAAGAAUAAUCAACUCACCUAUCAGUUGGAAUAUUUGUAGUAGUCAACUUCAAAGGAUAUAACGGAUUACCAAUUGUAACCAAGAAACUGCAUGUAAAUAACUAUCAAAAUGCCAUCUCCAGCACAAGACCAUCUCCUAAGGCUAUCAAGAUCCCAUCUUCAGCACAAGGUCAUCUCCUAAGACUAUUGAAAAUAAUUGUCUCAUUUGCUCACAAUAUCAACUGGAUUUUCAAAAAUUAAAAAUCAACUCACGGAAAUUUGCCAUUACCUAUACAAUUCGACUACAACAUCAAUCCAAGUGCAAGUAAGCUCACAAUAUCAACUGGAUUUUCAAAAAUUAAAAAUCAACUCACGAAAAUUUGCCAUUACUUAAACAAUUCGAGAGAACAGAGACGAUAGAGAAGAGAGAGAGCAGACCCAUGGUGAGAGACCAACGACAAGAGACCCAUGGCCAGAGACCAACGCCGAGCACCACUGCCUGAGAAAGUUUGAGAAUAGAGACGACAGAGAAGAGAGAGAGCAGACCCACGGUGAGAGACCAACGAUGAGAGACCCACGGCCGGAGACCCACGACCAGAGACCAACGCCGAGCACCACUGCCUGAGAAAGUUUGAGAACGGAGAUCAAAGAGAGACACGGCAAGAGAAACGGUGAGAUUUCUGCGAGAGCAAAUGGAGAAAAUGUGUGUGUCGCGUGAGAUCUAUUGCGUGUGUGUUGUGGUGGCUAUGUGUGUAUCACGUGAGUUGGCUCAUUUUAUACUAUGUCCAUAACGCACCGUUUGGUGCUUAUUGUGGUGCUUAACGUGGAAAGAGUCUCAUUUUCCUA
rnacentral:lncRNA from 1 species